CUGCCCCUGGGGAAGGAUCUCUUUCUGCAGGCUCCUCCUUGGUGAAGCUUUCCCCUGCAAAUCUGGAAUCUUCCGAUACAGCUCCUUGCCAACGUGGAAUAAUGACAAAUGGCUCCGUCUCAUCUGGAUGUUCACAUAUGAAGCCACAGGGAUAACGUGCAGUGGAAACACAACGCAGAAAUCAACCCUCAGAAUGGAAUCAGUGUUUAGGGAGAUCUCACAGGAACCUCCUGUUCCACUACCAACAGAGGCUCAAGGACUCAGAGGGGAUGUGAUUGCCAUCCCACUCCUCAUUCCUCCUGCCUGGAAGACCUGCCACGCUCCAGGAUGCUUCCAGGAGCCUCUGGGGCUGCUUCUGAGUUCCAGCUCUGGGAAGAGCACCUGGGUCCUUCAAAAGAAUGAGGCUAAUUUCUUGCAGCCACAUCGAACUGGCACAAAGAAUGUGGUAGGAAGGAGCCUGGGAAUGCGAGUGCUCCUCCCAUCUAAUUAAUCACUCGUGGCCUCCUGCUCACCUGGCCAAUGCCACCGAUGUGGGCUGGGCUGUGUGCCCUGCAGGACACCAGCACCGGGUCCUGUGCCUCUGUCCCUCGACAUGCAGGUUUGGUUCGUUCCAGGAGGAGUUGGUCAGAAGUGAAGACAUCCAGGUCCAGAUGUGCUCUUCCUGCAGCAGAUGGGAGCUGGGAGCAUCUCCAGGUGCACUUGCUGUCUCCUUGCUCACUCCUCAGGCUUUCUUAGGCCCCAGUACAGCUCUGUUAACAUGGCUCCAUCAGCACAGACAGACCCAGCCAUCUUCUUCCUUCUGCUGAGCUCACAGCACACUGCCUGUCCUGGACGCCAACCUAUCCCAAGGGGCCGAUCAGGACCUGGCCUCCUGGGGACUCCUUUUCUUCUUGCCUUCAAGGCAGCCCCACUUUCAGCUCACAGAAGGUGCCAGCACCCAUGGCUGUGGAGCUGCAGACCCCUGGGGCAAGCGGUGUGCACCUCCUUGCAGGACACGAACUGCAGCCCUGGGGACAUCCAGCAUCGUAACUCCCGGGUCUCGCUGCUGUAUCAGGGUUUGGAACAAAGAUGCCCAACCACAAAACACUGACGUCCUCUCCCAUGAGAACAGGAGGGGAUUUUUAAACCCCACUGACCACAGUUUCCUACUGGCACAACUCUGGAACAAACACAGCCGCAGCACAGCCCCAGCCAGUGAGCUCCAGCGCUUCCUACACUGAGCACGCACCGGCGCUGACCUUCCUUUGCAAUA